CGAGGACGUUAGGGCUUAAAGGGA
rnacentral:miRNA from 1 species